rfam:Schistosoma haematobium scaffold636_4, whole genome shotgun sequence.
AUCCAGCUGACGAGUCGCAUAUUGGACAAAACGUGCGUCCUGGAU